rnacentral:sRNA from 1 species
AAAUUUUACCCCCACCAAUGUAGCCCCAUCAAAUCCCAAGGGAUCAUAAAUUGAACAACCUUCAAUUCAAUUUCAAACACUUCCUAAGGAUGUUUCCACACAAGUUACAGCUUUUUUGAUUUUUGUUUUUGAGAAAAGGAUUUUAAAAGAUUUUUCUCUUUACAUUCCUAUGUAAAUAAUCGACCCCCUCCCCUUUGUUGCCCAAUCCUAUCCUUGGCGAUCAUGGCUUGAACAAACUUCAAUAUCUAUCCUAUCUGUAAAUGUAAUUCCUGAGAAAAUGCACAUCAUUUCACUUGCAGGCGUUCAAAAUACGAACAGUCCUUUAUAACCAUUGCAAACUGAUUUUGAUUAUUCAAAGCAAUUUGGUUUUUUACUUGAUUUCGGGGCAAUGUUUUUUUUUAUGUUGGAAUGUAAUAGUCUUAUCUUAGACUAACUUUAGUCUAACACUUUCCUGAUGUUGCCCUUUAUUCUUUAUAGGGCACCAUAAUAAAGUAUAUCUUAUUUUGC